rnacentral:other from 12 species
CGUGCAGCCUCCAGGACCCCCCCUCCCGGGAGAGCCAUAGUGGUCUGCGGAACCGGUGAGUACACCGGAAUCGCUGGGGCGACCGGGUCCUUUCUUGGAACAACCCGCUCAAUACCCAGAGAUUUGGGCGUGCCCCCGCAAGACCACUAGCCGAGUAGUGUUGGGUCGCGAAAGGCCUUGUGGUACUGCCUGAUAGGGUGCUUGCGAGUGCCCCGGGAGGUCUCGUAGACCGUGCAACAUGAGCACACUUCCUAAACCUCA